UACGUAGGGUGCAAGCGUUGUCCGGAAUUAUUGGGCGUAAAGAGCUCGUAGGCGGUUUGUCGCGUCUGCUGUGAAAAUCCAGGGCUUAACCCUGGACCUGCAGUGGGUACGGGCAGACUGGAGUGCGGUAGGGGAGAUCGGAAUUCCUGGUGUAGCGGUGAAAUGCGCAGAUAUCAGGAGGAACACCGGUGGCGAAGGCGGAUCUCUGGGCCGUAACUGACGCUGAGGUGCGAAAGCGUGGGGAGCAAACAGG
rnacentral:rRNA from 1 species